rnacentral:rRNA from 1 species
AGAGUUUGAUCCUGGCUCAGAACGAACGCUGGCGGCAGGCCUAACACAUGCAAGUCGAACGAGAAGCCACCUUCGGGUGGUGGACAGUGGCAGACGGGUGAGUAACGCGUGGGAACGUGCCUUUCGGUUCGGAAUAACCCAGGGAAACUUGGGCUAAUACCGGAUACGCCCUUCGGGGGAAAGAUUCAUUGCCGAAAGAUCGGCCCGCGUCGGAUUAGCUAGUUGGUGGGGUAAUGGCUCACCAAGGCGACGAUCCGUAGCUGGUCUGAGAGGAUGACCAGCCACACUGGGACUGAGACACGGCCCAGACUCCUACGGGAGGCAGCAGUGGGGAAUAUUGGACAAUGGGCGAAAGCCUGAUCCAGCCAUGCCGCGUGGGUGAAGAAGGCCUUAGGGUUGUAAACCCCUUUCAGCGGGGAAGAUAAUGACGGUACCCGCAGAAGAAGUCCCGGCUAACUCCGUGCCAGCAGCCGCGGUAAU